rnacentral:rRNA from 1 species
CUCAAAUUUGAAAUCUGGUCCCUAGGGCCCGAGUUGUAAUUUGUAGAGGAUGCUUUUGGUGAGGUGCCGCCCGAGUUCCCUGGAACGGGACGCCACAGAGGGUGAGAGCCCCGUCUGGCUGGCCGCCGAGCCUCUGUAAAGCUCCUUCGACGAGUCGAGUAGUUUGGGAAUGCUGCUCAAAAUGGGAGGUAUAUGUCUUCUAAAGCUAAAUAUUGGCCAGAGACCGAUAGCGCACAAGUAGAGUGAUCGAAAGAUGAAAAGCACCUUGAAAAGAGGGUUAAAUAGUACGUGAAAUUGUUGAAAGGGAAGCGCUUGUGACCAGACUUGGGCGCGGCGGAUCAUCCGGGGUUCUCUCCGGUGCACUUCGCCGCGUCUAGGCCAGCAUCAGUUCGUCGCGGGGGAAAAAGGCUUCGGGAACGUGGCUCCUCCGGGAGUGUUAUAGCCCGUUGCAUAAUACCCUGCGGUGGACUGAGGACCGCGCAUCUGCAAGGAUGCUGGCGUAAUGGUCACCAGCGAC